CAUGGACACGAGAAUAUGGUUUAGAAAAAUUGAAGAUCUACCGUGUCUAACGGAAUCGCGUGAAAGCAAAAUUGACAAUGACCCAACACACCUCCAGGCUGUGUAAGCUGCUAUUUAAACAAGAAGGAAAGUGAUGGAGUGCUGAAUCGGAUGACCUGGCCUCCACAAUCACCCGUACUCAACCCAGUUGAGAUGGUUUGGGAUGAGUUGGACCACAGAGUGAAUGAAAAGCAGCCAACAAGUGCUCAGUAUAUGUGGGAACUCCUUCAAGGCUGUAGGAAAAGCAUUCCAGGUGAAGCUGGUGGAGAACAACAUCUUCAAGAGGGCCAGGACGAAGGGGAGGCUGCCUCUGCUGCAGAUAGAACACAUCCUUUAGUCUGCGGGAAGAGGUCGUCUACUCCACCUGCUACCUGUCCCAGCUGCAGAACUAGUGUGUAGUGGAGCACGCCAUGCACCUGGCCCGGGAGGAACAUGGCAUCAGCCUGCAGGUAGCUGACCUUCGACCCCUCACACACCUCUUUAAGGACACCUUCCACUUGGCUCCAGACCUCCACCUGGGACAGCUGGUCCUGCCCACCUCACCACUAACUUCGGGCCCAUCUACAUGUACAAGCUGCAGAGGUUAAACUAGAACUGAUGGACAUGGAUUCACUUCAGUACCUUAUCUUAUUGAUCCCUUUGGUUCGACCUGAUUUCACCAGUUUUAAGUCAUUUUUCAAUGGACUUAUGUAUUUGUAUGCAGUGCUACCUUUGACCUCUAGGUGUCAGUAUUAGACAAUUAUACAAGUCCUAGCUCUCUGUAUUGAAAACAGGGCUUGAAGUUACAAGACCCAUAGAUUAGCUUUAAAUUAUUUUGAGGAUAAACUCAACCUACACUCGAAACAUUGCCCUGUCAAAUAAACAGAAUGUUUAUUUGUUUAUAGAUCAUUAUGCCCAGUCACUGAGGUUGAAAUAAACCAA